rnacentral:rRNA from 1 species
UACAGAGGGUGCGAGCGUUGUCCGGAAUCACUGGGCGUAAAGGGCGCGUAGGUGGUGGCUUAAGCGUGCGGUGAAAGCUCGGGGCUCAACCCCGAGUCGGCCGUGCGAACUGGGCUCACUGGAGCAUAGUAGAGGCAGGUGGAAUUCCGGGUGUAGCGGUGGAAUGCGUAGAGAUCCGGAAGACACCGGUGGCGAAGGCGGCCUGCUGGGCUAUGGCUGACACUGAGGCGCGGACAGCGUGGGGAGCAAACAGG